GGUCACAGCUCAGUGGUAGAGCACCUGCCUUGCACACGCAAGGUCCCAAGUUCAAUCCCUGGCAUGUUCA